rnacentral:lncRNA from 1 species
AAAGUCUUCUCAUCAAUUACUAACAACCCUUUCCUUUCAUCAGCCUCUCCACUGUCCACAAUCAACCAUGAGGGAAGAAAAUAUCCAAACUUGGAAUACUUCAAACUAUUCGCUGCAAAAACUGGAAAAGAAAAACAAGAAAAAGCCAAAAAAAACAGAAAAAAAAUGAUAUCUACUAAAGCAUUGAUUAACCAAAGAUGUUUUCUGUAGAGGAAUAUCCAUCACAUAUUAUGUGCUCAUGGUGGAAUUUAUACACCAAUAGGAAUCUCUUGUAAUCAGUUUGCUGUGCUGAGAGUUUACUCAUAAAAAUUUUAAAUUGAGGGGGUUAGAUGCCAAAAAAAAAUGGUAUUAGUCAAUGGAAACCAAGCAACGUAGACUGGUUAGAAGCUUUUAACGGUCCCCCGGGUCCGUCGAUCUCGCGCGUAUGCACAA